rnacentral:lncRNA from 1 species
UCGAUAACAGAGGAUCACAAGGACCAAGCCCUGGGGAGGAGAGGGUUUGGCAGCAGAAUGGGAGCUGACGAGGCCUUGCUUGUCCAUCAGAGUCACUCGUGGUUCUCAGGCACGUCACUGCUGGGAGAGCCAGGUGGAGAGUCCCAGCUCCGCGUCUGACUCCUCCAUUGAAUCCUCCUGAGCUGAGGCUGUGCCCUGCAGCCCCUGUCCUGCCUCCUCCUGCAUUACUGCAGCACAAGAUGCUCCCUGCGAGCCACUGGCAUCCAGGAAACGAGGGGGUUGGAGCUGCAGCCUCGUUGAGAGGAGGAUGGCGCUGGCUGUGGUGAAGGAGGAAGGACUCGAGUGUCUCACUGGUGCAAGAGGUCACUGAAGGCAGAGGAAACAGGGUCCAAAGUGCGAAAGAGGAGCUGGAGAGGGAACCUGGAGCGAGGUGAAUGCCCUUCCUGUGC